rnacentral:rRNA from 1 species
CCUACGGGUGGCAGCAGUGAGGAAUAUUGGUCAAUGGCCGAGAGGCUGAACCAGCCAAGUCGCGUGAGGGAAGAAUGUCCUAUGGAUUGUAAACCUCUUUUGUCAGGGCGCAAAGUCACCCACGUGUGGGUGUUUGAGAGUACCUGAAGAAAAAGCAUCGGCUAACUCCGUGCCAGCAGCCGCGGUAAUACGGAGGAUGCGAGCGUUAUCCGGUUUUAUUGGGUUUAAGGGGGGCGUAGGCGGGUUAUCAAGUCAGCGGGAACAUCGUGGAGCUAAACUCCAUCCUGCCGUUGAAACUGAUGAUCUUGAGUGCGCGAGAGGUAUGCGGAAUGCGUGGUGUAGCGGUGAAAUGCAUAGAUAUCACGCAGAACUCCGAUUGCGAAGGCAGCAUACCGGCGCCCGACUGACGCUGAAGCGCGAAAGCGUGGGUAUCGAACAGGAUUAGAUACCCGUGUAGUC